AGUGGCGAACGGGUGAGUAACACGUGGGUGAUCUGCCCUGCACUUCGGGAUAAGCCUGGGAAACUGGGUCUAAUACCGGAUAGGAGCCAUUUUUAGUGUGAUGGUUGGAAAGUUUUUUCGGUGUAGGAUGAGCUCGCGGCCUAUCAGCUUGUUGGUGGGGUAAUGGCCUACCAAGGCGGCGACGGGUAGCCGGCCUGAGAGGGUGGACGGCCACAUUGGGACUGAGAUACGGCCCAAACUCCUACGGGAGGCAGCAGUGGGGAAUAUUGCACAAUGGGCGCAAGCCUGAUGCAGCGACGCCGCGUGGGGGAUGACGGCCUUCGGGUUGUAAACUCCUUUCGCUAGGGACGAAGCUUUUUGUGACGGUACCUAGAUAAGAAGCACCGGCUAACUACGUGCCAGCAGCCGCGGUAAUACGUAGGGUGCGAGUGUUGUCCGGAAUUACUGGGCGUAAAGGGCUCGUAGGUGGUUUGUCGCGUCGUCUGUGAAAUUCCGGGGCUUAACUCCGGGCGUGCAGGCGAUACGGGCAUAACUUGAGUACUGUAGGGGUAACUGGAAUUCCUGGUGUAGCGGUGAAAUGCGCAGAUAUCAGGAGGAACACCGAUGGCGAAGGCAGGUUACUGGGCAGUUACUGACGCUGAGGAGCGAAAGCAUGGGUAGCGAACAGGAUUAGAUACCCUGGUAGUCCAUGCCGUAAACGGUGG
rnacentral:rRNA from 1 species